AUCUAUGGCCAUGCCACCCUGAACAAGCCCGAUCCUGUCUAAUCUCAGAAGCUAAGCAGUGUUGGGCCUGGUUAGUACUUAAUGGGAGACCACCUAGGAAGUCCAGGUGCUGUAGGCA
rnacentral:rRNA from 1 species